AACGAACGCUGGCGGCAGGCUUAACACAUGCAAGUCGAACGAUCCUUCGGGAUAGUGGCAGACGGGUGAGUAACGCGUGGGAACCUACCUUAUUCUACGGAAUAACACAGAGAAAUUUGUGCUAAUACCGUAUACGCCCUUUGGGGGAAAGAUUUAUCGGAGUAGGAUGGGCCCGCGUUGGAUUAGCUAGUUGGUGGGGUAAUGGCCUACCAAGGCGACGAUCUAUAGCUGGUCUGAGAGGAUGAUCAGCCACACUGGGACUGAGACACGGCCCAGACUCCUACGGGAGGCAGCAGUGGGGAAUAUUGGACAAUGGGCGCAAGCCUGAUCCAGCCAUGCCGCGUGAGUGAUGAAGGCCCUAGGGUUGUAAAGCUCUUUCAACGGUGAAGAUAAUGACGGUAACCGUAGAAGAAGCCCCGGCUAACUUCGUGCCAGCAGCCGCGGUAAU
rnacentral:rRNA from 1 species